CCCUUAGAUGUUCUGGGCCGCACGCGCGCUACACUGACGAAUGCAACGAGCUUAUAACCUUGGCCGAAAGGUCUGGGUAUCUCCAAAUUUCGUCGUGAUGGGGAUAGAUUAUUGCAAUUAUUAAUCUUCAACGAGGAAUGCCUAGUAAGCGCAAGUCAUCAGCUUGCGUUGAUUACGUCCCUGCCCUUUGUACACACCGCCCGUCGCUCCUACCGAUUGAAUGGUCCGGUGAAGCGUUCGGACCGUGGCCUUUGGACGGUUCGCCGUCUGUUGGCUGCGGGAAGUUCGUUAAACCUUAUCAUUUAGAGGAAGGAGAAGUCGUAACA
rnacentral:rRNA from 1 species